rnacentral:rRNA from 1 species
CAGUCGCCGCGGGAAUACGUAGGGUGCAAGCGUUAAUCGGAAUUACUGGGCGUAAAGCGUGCGCAGGCGGUUAUAUAAGACAGAUGUGAAAUCCCCGGGCUCAACCUGGGAACUGCAUUUGUGACUGUAUAGCUAGAGUACGGCAGAGGGGGAUGGAAUUCCGCGUGUAGCAGUGAAAUGCGUAGAUAUGCGGAGGAACACCGAUGGCGAAGGCAAUCCCCUGGGCCUGUACUGACGCUCAUGCACGAAAGCGUGGGGAGCAAACAGGAUUAGAUACCCGGGUAGUCCCUGUCUCUUAUAC